CGAGUCGGCCGGGCGGCCGCGGUACGCGGAACGGCCGGUCGCCGGUACGCCGCGGACCGAGGAAAGUCCGGACUCCGUAGAGCAGGGUGGUUGUCAACGGCAACCCGGGGUGACCCGCGGGACAGUGCCACAGAGAACAGACCGCCGUCGGUUCGCCGACGGUAAGGGUGAAACGGUGCGGUAAGAGCGCACCAGCGGUUCGGGUGACCGGGCCGGCUAGGUAAACCCCACCCGGAGCAAGGCCAAAGCCCGGACUCGCGAUCCCUCGAGGAUCGGGUCCGGGUGCGCGGGUGAUCGAGGACUGCUCGUCCGAGCCCGCGGGUGGGCCGCUCGAGGCACCCGGUGACGGUGUGUCCAGAUGGAUGGUCGCCACCGGUCUCUGAGACCGGUACAGGAUCCGGCUUACACGCCGGCUCGUUCG
rnacentral:RNase_P_RNA from 2 species